rnacentral:rRNA from 1 species
GACGAACGCUGGCGGCGUGCCUAACACAUGCAAGUCGGACGGGGUAGAGAGCUUCGGUUUUCUACUUAGUGGCGAACGGGUGAGUAACGCGUGAGAAACCUACCUUUCAGUGGGGGACAACAGUUGGAAACGACUGCUAAUACCGCAUAAUGUUAUUUAAGGGCAUCCUUGAAUAACCAAAGCUUUAUGUGCUGAAAGAUGGUCUCGCGUCCGAUUAGGUAGUUGGUGAGGUGACGGCCCACCAAGCCGACGAUCGGUAGCCGGACUGAGAGGUUGAACGGCCACAUUGGGACUGAGACACGGCCCAAACUCCUACGGGAGGCAGCAGUGGGGAAUAUUGCACAAUGGGGGAAACCCUGAUGCAGCGACGCCGCGUGAGUGAAGAAGUAUUUCGGUAUGUAAAGCUCUAUCAGCAGGGAAGAAAAUGACGGUACCUGACUAAGAAGCCCCGGCUAACUACGUG